rnacentral:rRNA from 1 species
AGUGAACGCUGGCGGUAGGCCUAACACAUGCAAGUCGAACGGCAGCACAGUAAGAGCUUGCUCUUACGGGUGGCGAGUGGCGGACGGGUGAGGAAUACAUCGGAAUCUACUUUUUCGUGGGGGAUAACGUAGGGAAACUUACGCUAAUACCGCAUACGACCUACGGGUGAAAGCAGGGGAUCUUCGGACCUUGCGCGAUUGAUUGAGCUGAUGUCGGAUUAGCUAGGUGGCGAGGUAAAGGCCCACCAAGGCGACGGUCCGUAGCUGGUCUGACAGGAUGAUCAGGCACACUGGAACUGAGACACGGUCCAGACUCCUACGGGGGGCAGGAGUGGGGAAUAUUGGAGAAUGGGCGCAAGCCUGAUCCAGCCAUAGCGCGUGGGUGAAGAAGGCCUUCGGGUUGUAAAGCCCUUUUGUUGGGAAAGAAAAGCAGCAGGUUAAUACCCCGCUGUUCUGAAGGUACCCAAAGAAUAAGCACCGGCUAACUUCGUG